AGAAUUAUAACUUUGCUUUUAAAACGAAAACUGAAACUAAAUACAUUAACUCUAAUGACUAUCUAUGAAGCCUCUACUAAUACUGACUAUAGAUAGCAAGGACGUGACUACAACUAUCACUAAUAAAUACAUAAGAAUAAGAAAGUAAAGAACAGUAGUGAAUCUAACUGAAGUCCCCGAAAUAGGAGGACUCAUCAUCUGUUGGCUGGAAUCUGCAACUGUCUAAUUUUGACUGCAAAUACUACAACUUGUACCUACAUGAUGAGACAAUGUAGCACAUAGACAUAUAUGUAUCAGAACUUUGAGGAUAUACUGAGUAUAUGGGGGUGCAAUGCAAUAAGUAAACAAUAUCAUCAAUCUUUAUAGAAAAUGUACAUGCUGAUAUAAAUGAUUCACAUAGCUUGAGUAAAAGCUGAAAUCUGAAUCUCAUAAAUCAUGUAUAAUGAAGCAUAUCGUACAAAUCUCGUGAGUCAUUCUAUUUACUUCAAAAAUCUUUAUUCUCCAUCUUAUUCUCAAAACUUAAAGGCUAAAGGAACUUUAAACAAUACUUUCAAACUCAUACUUUUAUCUCAUAGAGAGUAAAACUUCUUUAAAAAUCAAGGACUUGGAACUUUUAGGAAUUUUCAACACUUGGGAACUCUAGAACUCUUUUAGACUUGGGACACUUAGAAAUCGGGAUUAUAUAACUUUGGACACUCGGGAGUUUCUUCUAACCGACAUAAACCAUGUGAGCUACAUGGAUUCCAACGUCUUGUCCUCCUAAGGAAGAAACCUCACAUUGGGGAGAGGCGUAAUACUCUUGCUAGGGAGUAUAAUCUCAACUCAGUGAUCACUAUCUUGGCCUCAGGCCCAUAAAUCUUAGUCCUAUGGUGGCACGUAGUUUUGGGGUAUGAGACCUCAAAAUCAAACCCAAAUCGGUGUUAAAUACUACUCCCAUACUCAGCUCAGAACUCGUAGGAAAUCCACCUCAAAAUAACUCAAGGGUCCAUAGUGAAGACCAAAUUAUAAUUCUCUUAGCUUUAAAUCAUAAAGACUGAAUAAUGUGGAUUCCUAUCUUAACUCAGGCUCAAAAGUAAUCUUUCUUUAAAAUCAAAGUACUUGUUAAUUGAAUCAUACUAAACAACAUACUCAUCAAGAAACAUCAAAAUUCAUACUUGAUUUAAAACUUAUACUUAUGCUCAAAUAAUCUCCGUUUCAUAAUAAAGCUUACAUCAUGGCAUCAAUCUUGGAAACAUCAAAUCGAUACAAGGAUGUCCAACUCAUAGCUUAAUUUCUCAAAUCAUGUCAUAAAAUAGUGAAAUAAUCAUACAAAUCAAGACUUGAACAGUUCGUAAUCUCAUAAUCUCAAAAUAAAGUAAUUUGGGUAUAAACCCACUUGCCAAAAUAUGAAAUUCUUUAAUAUAAAUCAACAAUUUGGGCAUAAGAACGAAAAGAGUGUUCUUGUUCAAACCACUCAUACCUUAGAUUGAUUUGAUAAACUUAGAUGGAUAACUUGCUUGCAAGAUGUUAUUGAAACUCUUGAAUGAGGCUUCAUGGAAUUCUUGCCAAAGAACUUGGAAUCUUGACUUAAGUUGGAGAAUUGAUGGAGAAAUCGUGAGUUUCUUGGAGGAGAAGUUUGAUGAACUAGGGUCUUUGGUUGAGGAAUUUUGAGAAAAAUGGUAUCUGAUGCUUGUAAUGACCUAAAAUCGGGUGUUUGGACGGUUUAAGUGGGUUGGAGAUCCAAAAUACCCUUUUUAACUUCUAAACAGAACUAGGAAAAAUAUAACUGGGAGCCCGAUUUUAUGGGCCACCAUGAUACGCCACUAUCGCGGUGGCUCACUAGAAAUUGACGAAGGGGAAUCUAAGGGUCACCGCGAUGCGGAGCCAUCACAUUGUCCCACUGGUUGGGACCGGAAACUUCAGCGUGAUGCACCACGAUCACGCUAGGCUACUGGAAAUUGAAAUUGGGAUAUUAAUCCUCUCCAAAACGCAUAAGGGUCUGAAUGAUGGUGUUUUAUGAUAGGAACUUCAAUUAGCCAUAACUUUUUGCCCGGUUAUCGGAUUUGGAUGAAUCUUAUAUCAUUGGAAAGAUAAUUCAAUUUUCCAUAUGAUAAAAAAUCAAAAUUAGGAGAAUUUUAUAUGAUUUAAAUAUUACUCACUUUAGAAGUCAUUCCUAAAUCUUGUAGAGACGAAAUUAGGCUUAAGAAAAGUUUGAGGUAUUACAAUAUCUCCCCCUUGGGAACAUUCGUCCUCGAAUGUGGCUAGAUAGGCUAAGAAUACAGCGGAAAAAUAAGGGUGCACAGCUGAAAUAACUUGCCAAACUUAUUCUACCUCAUUCUAAACCUUUCAGUACUUCUGUGAGUGCACGAACUUAUAAAAAGAAUAACUAUAUAGCUGAAUAUUUGAUUAGAAAGGAGCUGAAUGAAGGAAGGCUAUUUCCUUCGACAAAACUUGCCUUUACUUAUCAUAAGGAGCUGAUUCGUGCUGAGAGUUUAGAAAUUGCUUGAUGUUCUCAUGGUGCAAUCUUAAUUAUAGAUUGCGAAGUUAUAUUUUAUGCAGGUAUAAAUCAUGAGAAAAUGAGGCUAAGAUUACACAAUGGGUAUUACACUGUCUGAGCUGGAACACUAGGAAAACAAAGAUCGUUCAGUGAAUACUUACGUACUGUAUCAUGACUAGAUAUCCGAAUUCUGAAACUGAUGCCCGAUACAUAUACUGAGCAGAAUUCGCAAAUUUUCAUGGGUGCGAACAACUAUUUACGUAAAUGACCGUACUUAUGAAACUUCAGGUAGUAAGACCAGACUAGUUCAAAAAAUGGAAAACUAUAGAAAUCUAUCAUCUGAUUGUUAAACUGGACUGCUGGCUAUCCAAACUGAAUCAUACUAGAUACUCAUACUCAAGUGGAGGAUAUCAUCAAUACCCUACUAGGGACGAUAUGGCUUGGAACAUAGACCCCUUUGAAUCGUAGACCAGGAUAGAAUUUCUAGGCCUUAGGCAACGCAACACCUUACUAGCAAGCUUAGACAUGCUUCUAAAAUAUUCUCUCAACUAUUUCUUUCCCUUAAAAACCAUGCUCAUUGAUUCAUAUUCUAAUUCUCACAUGGCCGUUGAUAUUUCCAUCUACUCAUGUCUAAACUGAACUAAACUCCCUCACCAUCUUCAAGCCUAACCCAAAAUCAUAUGAUACACUACAUAAUACUGUAAUACUAGUCUAAACCGUAAUUCAACACACCCUGCACUUCACAACUUCUUAUCUCAUGCAAAAUUCUCAUUACCACAUCUAACAACCACAUUUAACCUCGUACUAGACUUUUACUAAUGUGCAGUACAGCUAUCCAGAUAUAUACAAACAUGAUGUUCAAGCCUAUUUCUAUAACCACAUAUGCACUUCUAAACACACUCCCAUAAAAUACCCUUGUCAUAACCUACAAACCUCUACACAGAACAACAUCCAUGCACCAUUUUUAAGAAGACAUACAUAACAUAUUCUGAACUGACCAGGUCAUAUACAAAAACAUCACUCAAUAUUUCUUCAAACUCAUAAAAUUACAUAAAGCAAGAAUACGACCAUCUUCCCUAACAUGACCUAUUUACUCUCUCUUAUCUACACAACUGCUCAUCAUCACUAUUCUUGACCUAAGGAAAAGGUCACUAAAAGGUUAAAACACGAGGACCUGUAGCAUGAAGGGAUACCAUGCAUAACUUGGGCACUCACAUGAGAACUGAGAAAUAGAGCAUUUAACAUCAUGAACUUAUCAAAGAGGUCUAACCCGAGGGCAUGCAUGAUAUAAAUCUGAAUCUCGCUGCUCAUUAAAAGUAUUGCUUGAGCACUUGAACUGAACAUACCGUAAAGCUUGAGUACAUGAUUCAUGAGCUGCAAGACCCAUAUUUGGAGUUCAUAAAUUUUGGAAUGUGAUUGCAACUGCUGAAAGAACUGGAACUCCUUCUUUUGGGAACUAAGAGAGUACAUAAUUCUCUAUCAUAUGCAUGAACAUGAAUUAAGAUGAUUGAACUAACACUUAAGGCAUAAAUAGGUAUUGGGACAACAAAAAAUACUAAAAUAAGAUUAGAUCAAGCAUCAAUCUUUCUCGCAGCUAUUCUACAACUUACUGGUACAGCUACUAGAAUCUCAAAGCUUGACUUGGUUACUCAUUCUGUCAUCUCCCUCUUAGCUUUAAGCCAUUACUCUAAGUUUGUGAACCACUAUAUUAACUCUAAACUAAAAGGCACUCGCUUUGCUCUAGAGUCUGGGAUAUAAUUAAUACACAUGAAACCAAACUUACCCUAAAGGACUAUACCUUCAUGUAUAUCACCUAAAGCUAAUACUUCUUUCUAAGAUUUGACUCUUAAACUUCUGGGACCCCAAAAGUCAUCUUAUACAACUUUAAAACUCACCAACUUAGAUUUUUAUCACUUGACAUAGAUAUCAUCAUGCUUUAAUAAACCACGCUACUCCCUUCAUACUCUGCUAACAUCGCAUACUAUCAUAUCUCCAAAAUUACAUUUUCUCUAAACUAUAAGAAUCAAGUCAUACCAACAAGGCUCAAUACUAUGAAUCAAAACUCCUUAACUUAGCUAUUAAGAACAUCAUAUACUAUACAACUAGUCUUCUUCCUCUUAGCUACUCAAUGGUACUACUAACCACAUAACACUUAAUAAAUUUCAAAAUAGCGGAGCCCUAUAUCACCUCCAUCACACCUCAACAUCAUAGUUACAAAAUCAUACUUAUUCACGAAUAACUAGACUCAAACACUUGCAUCCACUAUUCAUGACCACCAUCAUUCAAUCUUAAUGUCUAGCACUCAACAUGAUUUACAACCCCACUUCACACACAAUUAUCACUUGGAAAAUAUGAAACAAAACCUCAAGAACUACUAUCCUACUCAAACCUCAUAACAACAAUAAUCAAUCAUAAUCAUAUAGCCUAUCUUAAUCACAAUUAAUUAACACAUCCUCCAUCCACACAGCUCUAUAAGUUUCAACUAAACUCCUUCUUGCAAUCUCAGGGAACCCUAAAUUAACAAUGCUCAUCGACCAAGUUCUUUCAUUAAUAACCUAUACUUUUCUAAAACAACAAAAUCUAUCAACAACUCUUUUCAUAAGUUAAGCAAACAACGAUUCACCUCAACUAAUAACUCUUUCUCUACCUUCUAAUAAACUAACCCCAAGGAUAUAUCACUUCAUUACUAAAUCAUAUGAAAAAAGAUUUGGCUAUACAUAUAUUCAAUAAAUCGCACUUACCAUCCUUCUAUCAAAUACACCUCUAAACCCCCAGUUCCAAUCAACACAAGAAAAACAAGGUGAACAAUAAGUUGCUAGUGAAUCAAAAUAGGCCUCACACGGCUUCACUAGACUUUAAAUUUCAACAAUACAAUGAUAACAAGAUUACAAGAGAUGGAAACUUAACACACAAUAUUCAAUGAUCUAAGAAUACACAUGUUACUCUGUCUUAACUGGAUGGAUCAUAAUAAUGAGGAUAUAACUUUAAACAUAAGGGGCUUAUAACACACUAGAAGGCCCCUCUCUAGCCAUUGUGUGAGACUUUUGAAACUUCUUGCUAGAAAGUCUGAGAGCAUUAUCAGGGAAGGAACUGGAAUUUGUUGAUCAUGUUAUCUUAUGAAUAAUACAAGGAUAGGGAAGUUUAGAUUUACAUUAUGGAUUCUGAUGAGGAAUCUGAAAGCACCUCUGACUUGGGCUUAGUGCUAGACUUUCAUGAACAUGAAUAAAACACUUUAAUCUUCAAAACUCUAAAGCACUGAUGGGAUACUUUCUAGCUCACUUACAAUCCCAUAACUAUCUAUGGAGACUGUCUGAGAAAGUACUAUGUAUAAAGAUUUAAGCUUGACUGUCUCUAAUAUCUUGAAAAUACGGAGGAGAUGGCCUAAAUAGUGUAAGAUGAGAAUCUGUAUAAAUUUCUUAGAGAACCUUUCUAUAGCACGAUCUGAGAUUUGAAAGAGUGGAAACAUUUCUCAAAUGCCUCGUAGUACAGACAUCUCCGUACCAUUCUGCAAAACUCUACUAGAUACGACUUCACAGACACCCUAGGAUACUUAAACUCUGUGCUCUGAUACCAAGUUUAUAAUGCCACAAAAAUGGGUCCCGAGAUGUCACAUGGUGCUUAGGGUCACAAAUGAGCUCAAGUUAACCUUUCUAAUGGCAAACUCAUAAGCAACAGAAUAAAAUUCAUAAAUUUGUACAAUAUCAAUGGAAGAUAACUCUUUUUUGAAUCUAAUCGAUUCAAAACUGAAUUCACGGGAUUAUAACUCUACUUUUACAAUGAAAACUAAAACUAAAUACAUUAACUCUACUGACUAUCUAUGAAGUCUCUACUAAUACUGACUAUAGAUAAUAAGGAUGCGACCCCAACUAUCACUAAUCAAUACAUAAGAAUAAGAAAGUAAAGAACAAUAGUUAAUCUAACUGAAGUCUCCAAAAUAGGAGGACUCAUCAUCCGCUGGCUGGAAUUUGUAACUGUCUAACUUUGACUAAAUACUACAACUUGUACCUACAAGAUGAGACAAUGUAGCACAUAGACAUAUAUGUGGAUCAGUACUUUGAGGAUGUACUGAGUAUAUAGGGGUGCAAUGCAAUAAGUAAACAACAUCAUCAAUCUUUAUAGAAAAUCUGCAUGCUGAUAUAAAUGACUCACAUAGCUUGAGUAAAAGCUAAAAUAUAAAUCUCAUAAAUUAUAUAUAAUGAAGCAUAUAGUACAAAUCUCAUAAGUCAUUCUAUUUACUUCAAAAAUCUGUAUUCUCCAUCUUAUUCUCAAAACUUGAAGGCUAAAGGAACUUUAAACAAUACUUUCAAACUCAUACUUUUAUCUCAUGGAGAAUAAAACUUCUUUAAAACUCAAGGACUCAAAAAUUUUAGGAAUUUUCAAUACUUGGGAACUCUAGAACUCUUUUAGACUCGGGACACUUAGAACUCGGGAUUAUAUAACUUUGGGCACUCACGAGUUUCUUCUAACCUAUAUAAACCAUGUGAUCUACAUGGAGUCCAAUGUCUUGUCCUCCUAAGGAAGAAACCUCACGUUGAGGAGAGGCAUCACACUCUUGCCAGGGAGUAUAACCUCAACUCAGUGAUCACUAUUGCGGCCUCGGGCCCAUAAAUCUUAGUCCUAUGGUGGCACGUAGUUUUGGGGUAUGAGACCUCAAAAUCAAACCCAAAUCGGUGCUAAAUACUACUCCCAUACUUAGCUCAAAACUCUUAGGAAAUCCACUUCAAAACAACUCAAGGGUCUAUAGUGAAGACCAAAUUAUAAUUCUCUUAGCUUUAAAUCAUAAAGACUGAAUAAUGUGGAUUCCUUUCUUAACUCAGGCUUAAAAGUAAUCUUUCUUUAAAAUCAAAGUACUUGCUGAUUGAAUCAAACUAAACAACAUACUCUUCAAGAAAUAUCAAAACUCAUACUUGAUUUAAAACUUAUACUUAUGCUCAAAUAAUCUACGUUUCAUAAUAAAGCUUAAAUCAUGGAAACAUCAAAUCAAUACAAGGAUGUGCAACUCAUAAUAUAAUUUCUCAACUCAUGUCAUAAAAUAGUGAAAUAAUCAUGCAAAUCGAGACUUGAACAACUCGUAAUCUCAUAAUCUCAAAAUAAAGUAAUUUGAGUAUAAACCCACUUGCAAAAAUAUAAAAUUCUUUAAUAAAAAUCAAUAAUUUAGGCACAAGAAUGAAAAGAGUGUUCUUGUUCAAACCCCACAUACCUUAGAUUGAUAAACCUGGAUGAAUAACUUGCUUGCGAGAUGUUAUUGAAACUCUUGAAUUAGGGUUCUUGAAAUUCUUGCACAAAGAACUUGGAAUCUUGACUUAAGUUGGAUAAUUGAUGGAGAAAUCUUGAGUUUCUUGGAGGAGAAGUUUGAUUAACUAGGGUCUUUAGUUGAGGGAUUUUGAGAAAAAUGGUAUAUGAUGCUUGUGAUGACCUUAAAUCAGUUGUUUGGAUGAUUUAAGUGGCUUGGAGAAAGUCCAAAAUACCCUUCUUAACUCCUGAAAAAAAACUGGAAAAAAUAUAACUGCAAGCCCAAUUUUAUGGGCCACCGCCAUGCGCCACUAUCACGGUGGCUCUCUGGAAAUUGAUGAAUGGGAAUUUGAGGGUCACCGCAAUGCGGAGCCAUCACGUUGUCCCAUUGGUUAGGACCUGAAACUUCAGUGCAACGUAUCACAAUCGCGCUAGGCUACUGGAAACUGACAAUUGGGAUAUUACUCCUCUCUACGACACGCUAAGGGUCUGAAUGAUGAUGUUUUAUGACAGAAACUUAAAUUAGCCAUAACUUUUUGCCCGAUUAUCGAAUUUGGACGAAUCUUAUAUCAUUGGAAAGAUAAUUUAAUUUCCCACAUGAUAAAAAGUCAAAAUUAGGAUAAUUCUAUAUGAUUUAAAUAUUACUCACUUUGAAAGUCAUUCCUCAAUCUUAUAAAGAUGAAAUUAGGCUUAUGGAAAGUUCAGGGUAUUAUAUGAUGCAAUCUCUUUGCGCCACACGACCCAUCACAUUGAUGAAUAUUUUCCUCCAGCUCCAAGUACCAAUUCUAGUGAACCGAUACAGACUUAACGCAACACAAUGGUCAUCGCAUUGAUGCCAAUGACGUGACUCGUCAGUCUACGCGUUGCUAGAUCUAUUUUUAGUCAUUAAAAAGUUGCAUCCUCAGGGAUAAUUGGGUGUUUUUCUCAUAUCUAUCAGCUUAAAGAACACAAAAUUAAACCCUUCUAAAAGCAAAAACUAUUCCUUCUUCACAAGUUGCUCUCAAGAAAAAACCUUAAGAGAUUUUAAAUUCAAUUCAAGGCUCAAGAAUUCAUCAUCAAUCUUUCAAAAUUUAAUUGUUAAGGUAUGCCAAGUGUUCAUUCAAGGGUCCCUACCACUGUUGGAAUUCAAGAAUUUAUUUAUAAAACCUUAAGUGUAUUGAUUACAUGAAUUUCAUAUUAGGUUUGAUUAUAUUCAUGAUUAUAAUGAUUAAUUGGGUUUCUAAUCCAUGUCUUGUUACAAGUUUUAUGUGGAAUUAUUUAAUAUAUGUAUAAAAUCAUGUAAAUUCAUGCUAAACUCUUGAAAUUGUAAAUGGGGGUUUGAAUUGUGGUGCCCAUAUGUAGUUAGUGUCAUGUGCAUGGAUUAUGUCCUCAAAAUGUUUGAUAAAUUACUCAUGUAAACAAAGAAAAAGGGAAAACAAUCACGUCGUGUUAGCUUAUGUGUAGGUUAUAUCAUUUAAGUGUUUGAUGGAAUGUCUCUAUGAAUGAGUUAUGAUCAAGUGCAUAUAGUUAUGCCUUUAAAAUUUAUGUUAUGAUUUAUUUCUCAUGCUAUCGAGUCCUGGGGGUAUCCAAUACCCAAAAACUUAGUUGUUUACCUAGAGUUGUGGUAGUUAUAGAACAGUAUCAGUAGUGCCACGAAUAGUAGCCUUAAUAAUCAAUCACAAUUAUAUUUCACUAUUCAGUUCAGACCUCAGUAAAUCUAGCUAGUCAAUAGGACUUUAUAGUAUUCCAUCAGUUAACAAAAUUCAGUAGUAUUUCAUCAGUUAAUGGAACUUAGUGAACUCAGUUUAGUUUAGUUGAUAGUACGAUUAGUAAUAGUUCAGUCCAGCCUAGUACAAUUUAGAAAUCAGUCCUGUGUCUAUUCAGCUGGGAGUAGGAUUCAGAACUGAGCGAACGCAGGGAUAGAGACAUUCCUACCAACAGAGGGUUUGACCCUUACUAGCAAUCCCUGUAUUACUGAACUACAUAGCCAUCGUAGGUUGAGAUAUCUUCCUGAUAGACUAGGGUUGAUAUAUCUCAUAUGAGUUUUCUUGCUAUUGAGGGUUAACGAAAGAGCUUUCUGUCAGAGAGGGUUAACUCACAGCUUGUCUUAUGGACCCCAAUCUAUCUAAAAAGGGGCAUGUUGGUUAGAAAAUUACCUCUCAUAGUCUCAAUUUCAGUUUCAGUCUUGGUAUAGAACUCAGUUUAGUUCUACAGAAUCAUGACUGUCAGAUAUAAUUAUUUAGUUCAGUACAAAACUCAGCACAGUUCUAUAGAAUCAGGACUAUUAGCUACAUUCAUUCAGCUAUCAGUUAUACAGUAUCCGUAAACUCAAAUAUUUGUAAAUUAGUAAUUCAGAACUCAGUAUCCAGUGUCAUCAUGACUUUAGUUACAGUUUACAUAUUUUAUGCAUGUACUCUUAUUCAUAUAUACUUAGGUUAAUCAGUCAGUAUUGUUCAUGCAUAUGAACCCAAGUAUCUCAGCCAACCUCACUUAGCAUACCAGUAUAUUCAAAGUAAUAACGCAUACCUUUCUUUGUUAUAUGAUGUCUUACAUCAUAGGUUCAGACGCCCGGGCUCCCGAUCAAACUUAGCGGCUCGAUCCAUUAGCAGAAGACUAGUGGUGAGUCCUUAUUGUUCAAGUAUGGAUUUAUUAUUAUAGAUUUCAAUACUUAGUUUAUUUUAGUAGUCGGAGUUAGUUGGGGACUUGUCCCCUCAACUCCUUAUCCAGAUAGUAGAGGCUUUUUAGAUUAGAAUAUUUAUAGACAAAUGUUCAGUUUUGGUAUGGAUGUACCAUACUCAGUAUUUACUUACAGUUUUGAACCUUAUGGUAGAUUUUUGCCUAAUUUCUACAUAAUUACAGUAUUACUAUUUAGUUAUUGCAGCAGGUACCAGUCAUGGGUUGGCUUGUGGUCCUUUGAGAUUAUGAGCACCAUGUAGCAUUCGGGGUACAAACUCGGGGUGUUACUAACUUUGUAUCAGAGCCUAAGUUUCAACAUAGUCCUAGGAAGUCUGAAAGCCAUAUCUAGUAGAGCCUUGUACAUGGGUGUGUAGUAUGCUAUACUUUUGGACAGGAGGCUAUUAGAUGUUUUAGGAAAAGUUUCCCUUCUUUCAGUAACCAUGUCGUAUGGGUGAGCACAAGCUAAAGUUAAAAUCUCUGUCUAAUCCAAGUUUCUCUUUUAUUUACAGAAUAUGCCUCCAAAGAGAACUAAAGAAAGAGGAAUAAGAGACCAGCCAGCACCUCAGUCUAUCCAACUAGAUCCCCUGGGCGAAUAUGUCUCCCACGCUAAAUUCAAAGGAGCUUUAACCACCCUAGAUCAUUCUGUGCCAGCCCAAAAUGAAUGCCCAGUUGUCGCUUUGGCCAACCCAGUGGCUAAUACCAUUGCAUCUAGGAUUCAGGCCAUCACCCAAUUAACCCUACAUCUUUUAUCGGGUCAAAGUCAGAUAAGGACCCACAAGAAUUUCUUGAUCAGGUGUAGAAGGUUACAAAUAUUAUGGAGGUGACAGCUAAUGAGAAUUCUGAGUUAGCUACAUAUGAGUUGUAGGAUGUGGCUCACUCAUGGUUCAAAUAGUGGAAAUCAGAGAGGGCCACAGAUGUAGGACCUAUAAAAUAGGAGGAAUUUGUUAUUGCUUUUAUGGAUAGGUUCUUACCGCUAGAGAUGAGAAAAGCGAAGGUUUUGGAAUUUAUAAAUUUGAAUAAGGGAAACAUAACGGUACAAGAGUAUUCUCUUAAGUUUACUUAAUUUUCCAGAUACGCUCCUUAUGUGGUAGUAGAUAGCAGAUCUAAGAUGAGUAAGUUUGUGUUUGGCAUGUCGAAUAGUGUGGUCAAGGAAUGUAGGACCGCAAUGUUGAUUAUAGAGAUAGACAUAUCAAGGCUUAUGGUCCAUGCUCAGCAGAUAAAGGAGGCUAAGAAUAAAGUAAGAGAGAGGGAGAACAAGGAAGCUAAAACAGGUAGCUUCUACUUCACCCAACCUAAGUCAGAGGGUGGUAAUCAUUCUCAGUUCUGCCUAAAAUCCUCAGUCCCAGCUCCAUUCUCAUCCAGUGCUCUUGUGCCAAAAUUCAGAGAUAACAAUAGAGAUAGGGUGUUAUUUCCUAAACCUAGGGCAGUGUUAGAAGUUCCCAAACAAAUUCUCUCUACCAGAAGUAUAGUAGAAACUAUUAGGUUGCCUGCAGAGCUGGUAGUGACGUAUGUUUUGGAUAUGAAAAGCUAGUCCACAAAGUUAGAUAGUAUCCUCAGGUGGGUUCCAGAGUCAGCAUAACCGUCUCUCAGCUCAGUCUGGUCUCCCGAAUUAGCAGGGUGCUGAUUCAAGUUCCACCAGUGGGAAAUGGCCAAAUAGACUCUAUGCACUUUAGUCCCGAUAGGAUCAGGAAAUUUCUCCUAAUGUUGUCACUUGUAUGUUACAAGUUUAUUAUUUACAUGUUUAUGCGUUGCUAGAUCCAGGAGCUUCUUUAUCUUUUGUAACUCCUUAUAUAGCUGUUGAUUUUGGAGUCAGUCCCAAAAUUCUAGUAGAGCCUUUCUCAGUCUCUACCCCAGUAGGUAAAUCUAUCAUAGCCUGGCAGGUAUACAGGAACUAUCCGAUUAUGGUAUCUCAGAAAGUCACUUCAGUAGACUUAGUUGAAUUAGAGAUGACUAAUUUUGAUGUACUUCUCGGCAUGGAUUGGAUUUAUUCAUGCUUUGCCUCAGUCAACUACAGAAACAAAAUUGUCCUAUUUCAGUUACCGAAUGAGCCCAUCCUAGAGUAGAGGGUAGUACUUCAGCACUUAGGAGUCAACUAGUUUCCUACCUUAGGGAAAAGAAAAUAAUAUCUGAGGGAUGUGUUUACCAUAUCGUUUAAGUCCAGGACUCUAGAUCAGAAACCCUUACUCUUAAGUCAGUAUCAGUAGCAUAUGAAUUCUCUGACGUGCUUCCCAAAGAUCUUCCCAGAGUUUCUCCUGAAAGGGAAAUUGACUUUGGAAUAGACUUUCUUUUAGAUACUCAGCCCAUAUCUAUUCUGCCAUAUAGAAUGGCUCUAACAGAACUCAAAGAAUUAAAAAAAUAGUUAAAAGAUCUCCUAGCUAAGGGAUUCAUCAGACCCAGUGCAUCCCCGUGGGGUGCACCAGUUCUAUUCGUGUGUAAGAAAGAUGGUUCUCUCAGAAUAUGUAUAGACUACCGUCAGCUAAAUAAAGUCAUGAUCAAUAACAAGUAUCCACUUCCCAGAAUUAAUGACUUUGUUGACUAACUUCAGGGUGCCAGUUACUUUUCUAAGAUAGACCUCAGAUCAGGCUAUCAUCAGCUCAGAUUCAGAGAAUGUGACAUUCUAAACAUAGCUUUCAGAACUCAGUAUGGUCACUUCAAAUUCUUAAACAUGUCAUUUGGUCUUACUAAUGACCCAACAGAUUUCAUGGACUUGAUGAACCAUAUUUUCAAGCAGUACCUGGAUAUGUUUGUAAUAAUCUUCAUAGAUGACAUCUUUGUCUACUCUUGCAGUAAGCAUGAUAAUGCAGACCAUCUCAAAAAAGUAUUACAAACUCUUAGAAACCAUCAUCUAUUCGAAUAAUUCAGUAAGUGUAAAUUUUGGCUAAGUUCAUUAGCCUUCCUCAGACAUAUCAUUUACUGUGAUAGCAUGUAGCUCCCCGAAGUUUUUUCUUAGCUAAAUUUUGUCCCUAACAUAUCAAGCAUUGGCUUAUAGUAUGAUUUAUACUUUUUUUUCCAGUGGAAUCCCUUAGAUUUCAACUUUUCAUUUCGUAGAUGAUUGAAUAAGUUUUUUUGUCGACAUAAGAUCCAUCCAAAAUAGACAUUCGGUGAAGGAGUUAUGGUUAAUUUAAGUCCUAGUCAUAAAAUAUUGUUUUUCCUGUCCUUGGCGCAUCACAAAAAGGGUGUAAAUAAUGAUGGUCAAUUUCUAAUGGGACUUUGAGAUAGUGGCACAUCGUGGAGUGGGCCAAAUUCCCAUUCAUCAAUUUCCAGUGAGCCACCGCAAUAGUGGUGCAUCGCGAUGGCCCAUGAAAUUGGGCUCCCAGUUAUUUUUUAAUACCAAUCUCAUUAAGGGUAUAUUGGAUAUUUUCCCACAUCCUUAUCAGUCCAAACACGAGAUUUCAACCCCAAUUGGGCAUAUUACUCAUACAUUCACAAAAAAUAUUCAAGAACACUCUCUAGGAUUUCAUAUUGAUAAUCCAGAUAAAUCAAGAUUCAACCAUGGGUUUUCAAAACAAAUUAAAGAUUUGGAAUCCCCAAGCGGUGAGCAUAAAGAAUCAUCCUUUACAUUUCUAGAUAAAGGUACGUGGGGUUUAUCCUAAAAAAACAACAUGGGCUGAAAACCAUUAGAGCAUGAUUUUUAGAUUCUUAUGCAUGAAUUUCAAAGGGGUUUUGGAAUCUAUGCUCUAAAUUACGUACUUCAAAUGUUUUAAUAUUACUAUUGUUUUUACCUUGUGGUCCUAUCCCCUAAAUUAAUUUACAUGUAUUCGUAUAUGUAUGAAAUUUGAGAUUUAAGAUCGUUGAGAGCAUAAAUUAUGAACUCCCUCUCGUAUAUUGAAUUAAAGAGUAUGGUUUUAUGAUUUGAAAGAUGUUUUCACAAUACUAUAGCAUUUGAGCAUGAUUUGAAAUUUUUAAGAGGGUGUUUCUUGAUAUAGAUGUGUUUUUAUGUUUAAGAGAAAGAAUUGCAUGUGAAUUGAGAACUUUGACAUGACCACCUUGUACUGUACUACUGAAAUGCUUGACAAAGAUGAGUACCUUGCAUGUGUUUACAUGAGAUUUGAGAAAGAGUUUCUUAGAAUUGAAUUAUUGAAAUGGUGGUCCCAAAAAUUGUGUUUUGAAAAUAGAGAUUUGAGAUAGACUAAUAAUGGCUCAGAGAUGUGACUUGCAAGUCAACGGUAUGACGAUACCAUAUGUAUUUAUGCCAUAAUAGAUUAUGUUUUCGGAGCAUGUUUUAAGAGACUGUAUGUUUUGAUAGAGUUUUAAAAUGGGGCUUAAAGAGGAUUAGGUAGUUACCCGAAGAAGACGCGAGUUCAAGCAACUAUUAGCCUGAAAUCGUAUUUGUCGAUAUGGGUAGAUUAUUAUUGUACAUUGGCGACCUCUGUGUGGUGUAAUAGAUUCAGAGACUCCGACCCUUGCGGAACACUUAGGUUGGGGGCUUCGCUGCCGAGUUAAUGGCAGUUUCCAUAUAUCCCAUGGAAUUUUUUAGAGUUGUAGGGAAUACCACCUAGCGCAGAAGUAACACAGAUUUCUCAGAGUUGAGAUGAUUUUUACAGAGUCUUUAAAAUUCCCAUGUGAAUUCUUACUAUAUGAUAUACUUCUGAACUAUUUUAAAUUACUCUCAUAUAUGUUUAAUAAUGAAUGAUUAUUUUGGAUAUGCUCUGCGUACCAGUACAUCUGUAUUAACCCCCCUACCUCUCAGGUUUUGAGACUCUAUCUAGGGGUCCAGAUAAGUAGUAGAUAAUUCAGACAGCUGAUCAGAUUGUGCAGUGGUGAGCCUUUUCUAUUCCAAAAGGCCUAUCUUUUUAGAUUAUGUCACUUAUUUUAGUUUUGGUCUACUGGGGUCCUUGUCCCAGUUUCAGACAUUUGUUAGAUUUUUAUGUAGUAGAGAUUUCACAGACUGAGUCAGAUAUUAUUUAGAUGUAGUUGAUUUACAAUUUCCAUACUUAUGUUGAAUUUAGAAUUGACCAUGUUUCUGUAGAAGAUUAUAUUUCCACAUCUUCUUUUAUUAUAUGAAUAUUUUGCAUGAUUACCAAAUAGAGAAGGAUGUUCUAGGCCCUCAUGGUUUGGGAUGUCCGUCACGGCCAGGCCCAAGUUUGGGUCAUGACAAACUUUGUAUCAGAGCACGGUUCAUGGUCCCAGGAUGUCUAUGAAAUCACGCCAGGUAGAGUCUUAUUUAUUGGUGUGUAGAGUGCCAUACUUAUAAGUAGAAGGCUACUAGGCAUUUAAGAAUGUUUCUCUUCUUUAUGAUUUAGUUUGUGCUUGAGAGUCUAACCUGUCCCCUAAUCGAUGACUUCUUGCUUUUUAGAAAACCAACAAUGCCUCCCCGUUACACCAACAUUAAUUCUCAGGAUGAUAAAGUAUAUCCCACCCAUAGGAUGAGGACCCGUAAUAGAGCUCAUACCCUACAACCUUUUCCUACUCCGGGAGUACCUCCUAUACCAACCAGUCCUCUCAGAUCUCCUCGAACGGGGGAUAAUUGCACUUAGCCUUGUGAAUGAGAGGUUUCUAAUGUUGAAUUCAGAUAGUCUAUUCACAUGCUCACACAACUGGUAGCUCGCACGACUCAAAGGUUAGAGGAUACUGGGUCUAUUUCUGUUACUUCUGAAGUUACUAGAGUGGGCCUGUUCAUGAGAUUGAACCCACCCAAGUUCUCUAGCACUAAGGUAGAAAAGGACCCCCAGGAGUUCAUAGAUGGAAUAAAGAAGAUUUUCAAAGUAAUGCAUGUUGAUUAGGUGGAGGGUGUUGAGCUAGCAGCAUACCAGCUAAAGGAUGUAGUGAACCAAUGGUACAACGAGUGGGAAGAUACGAAGGGUGACAGUGCUGACCCCAUUGUUUGGGAUGAGUUCAUCAAAGCUUUUCUUGACUGAUUCUUUUCUCUGAAGCUGAGGAAAGCUAAAGCAGAGGAGUUCAUGAACCUUAAGCAGGGUAAGAUGAGUGUUCAGGAGUAUUCUUUAAAGUUUAACCAGGUGGCCCAUUAUGCUCCUGAGAUGACGAGUAGUAUGAGGGCUCGAAUGAGAAAAUUUGCUUCCAGUCUUUUAGAUGAUCUAGUGCUUGAGUGUCAGGGAGCUAUGCUGAAUAGGGAUAUAGACUUUGCUAGACUAUCAGUCCAUAUUCAGCAAGUUGAGGAGAAGAAGAAGAAGAUAGCCGAAGCUAGGGAAAAGGACAGGCAGGCAAAGAGAUCCUGAGCGACAGACCACAGUCAUAGUCAGUAGCAGAGUGGUAAUUAGGGUGGCAAAUGGCAAAAGAAAAAGAAUUGGGGAAAUGCAUAGUCGGUAACUAGUGCUCCAGCAUCCAGACCCACAACUGAGCAACAUGCCCAAAAUUUUCAGUCUAGUCAGGGGCUGAGAAUAUAGGGUACGUAGUCGCAGGGAAGUGUAGCCCAGACCUCUCGGUCCUAUUUACACUGUGGGAGAUGCAGAAGAAAUCAUCCAGGGAGAUAUCAGUUUGGCGCUUCGGUUUGUUAUUCAUAUGGCCAACUAGGCCAUAUCCAGAGAGACUGUCAGGCAGCAAAGAGUAAUGUUGGAGAAGCCAAGUUACAGACAAAUUUAUCUGCACCACCACCUCAGAAGGGUACCACUUCAGCCAUCAGAAAUGGUGGGAACCGGUUGUAUGAUUUGACUAACCACCAGGAGGUAGAGGCCUCACCAGAUGUAGUCACCGGUACAUUCCAUAUCUUUUCUCGUGAUGUGUGUGUAUUACUUGAUACCGGGUCUACCUUAUCUUAUGUGACCCCAUACAAGGCUGUUGGUUUUGGGUUUGAGCCUGAUGUGAUUGUUGAACCUUUUUUGGUUUCCACCUUGGUGGGAGAUUCUGUUGUGGCUAGGGGGGUAUAUAAAAAUUGUGUUGUAUCUAUUUUCAUCCAGGAUACUGAGGCAGAUCUCAUAGAACUUGAUAUGAUUGAUUUUGAUGCCAUCUUAGGGAUGGAUUGGCUCUAUUCGUGCUAUGCCACCUUGAAUUGUAGGACCCGAAAAGUCACCUUUUAUUUUUCGAAUGAGUUUGUGAUAGAAUGGGAGGGACAUUCUCUAGCACCUACAGGGCAAUUCAUAUCUUAUCUCAGGGCCCAUAAACUCAUUUCCAAAGGUUACUUGUAUCAUCUUAUUUGGGUUAAAGAUUCUAGUGCCAAAAGUAUCCCUCUUCAUUCUAUCCCCAUAGUGAAUAAAUUCCUGGAAGUCUUUUCAGAUGAUCUCCCAGGAAUACCACCUGAUAGGGAGAUAGAUUUUGGUAUUGAUUUAUUGCCAGAUACCCAUCGUAUUUCUAUUUUGCCAUAUAGGAUGGCUUCUGCAGAGCUAAAAGAGUUGAAAGAAAAGAUAACAGAUCUUCUAGAUAAAGAUUUUAUCUGCCCCAGUGUGUCUUUCUAGGGUGCACCUAUACUUUUCGUGCAAAAGAAAGACGGUUCCCUUUAUAUGUGCAUAGAUUACCGCCAGUUGAAUAAGGCCACGAUUAAAAAUAAAUAUCCCCUUCCUAGGAUUGAUGAUUUUUUAUCAACUUCAGGGUGCUAAAUGUUUGUCAAAGAUAGACCUUCGUUUGGGAUAUAAUCACUUGAAAGUUAGGGAGUUAAAUAUUCCCAAAACAGCUUUUCGAACCAAAUAGUGCCUUAUUAAUUCUUAGUCAUGUCUUUCGGGUUGACUAACACCCCUGCAACUUUCAUGGAUCAAAUGAUUAGGUUUUUCCAUCAGUUUCUGCAUUUGUUUGUCAUUGUAUUCAUUGAUGACAUUUUGGUAUCUUCUAAGAGCGAGGAGGACUAUGCCAAUCACCUCCGAAUCAUCCUUCAAACCCUUAAAGAUCAUAAGUUGUAUGCAAAAUUUUCCAAGUAUGAAUUCUGAUUGAAUACUAUAGCAUUCUUAGGGAAUAUUGUGUCUAGUAAGGGGAUUAAUGUUGAUCCUCAAAAUAUUGAGGCAGUGAGAAAAUGGCCCAGACCCACGACUCCACCUAACAUUCGAAGCUUCUUGGGUUUAGCGGGUUAUUACAGAAGAUUCAUCAAGAGUUUUUCUUCCAUAGUUGUACCACUUACUAAGUUGACUCAGAAAAAGGUGAAGUUUUUAUGAUCUGACUCUUGUGAGAAUAGUUUUGAGAAGUUGAAAGAAAAGUUGACUACUGCUCCUGUUCUGACUCUUCCGUAGGGUAUAGAAGGUUUUAUUGUAUACUGUGAUGCAUCCCGAGUGGGACUUGGGUGUGUUCUUAUGCAGCACGGUAAGGUAGUGGCUUAUGCAUCUAGGCAGUUGAAGGUGCAUGAACGGAACUACCCUACUCAUGACUUGGAGUUAGCGACCGAGGUUUUUGCACUUAAGAUCUGGCAACACUAUUUGUAUGGGCUGCACGUUGAUAUACUGACCACAAUAGUUUACAGUAUGUUCUCUCGCAAAAAGAAUUGAAUCUCAAGUAGAGGGGAUAGUUGGAACUUUUAAAAGACUAUGACAUGAGCCUGUACUAUCAUUUGGGCAAGGAAAAUAUAGUAGCCGAUGCCCUCAGCAGGUUAUCUAUGGGAAUUCUUUCACAUGUGGAGAAAGAAAAGAGGGAGAUUAUGAAGGAUAUUCAUCGAUUUGUAAAUCUAGGAAUGCAACUUUUGGAUUCAGAGGAUGGAGGAGUGGUUGUUCAUGAGAUAGUUAAAUCUUUCCUUUGUGCAGAAGCCAAGGAGAAAUAGGUUGAAGAUCCCAUCUUGAUGCAGAUCAAGAAAGAUAUGGGUCAACAAAAGGUAUUGUCUUUUGAAAUUGGUGGUGAUAGUGUUUUGAGAUACCAGGGUAGAUUAUGUGUGCCAGAUGUAGAUGGUCUGAGGAAAAAAAUCCUUGAAGAAGCUCACACGUCGAGGUAUGUUAUUCACCCCGGCUCAACUAAGAUGUAUCAGGAUUUGAAAACCAUUUAUUGGUGGAAGAAUAUGAAUCGUGAUGUGGCUAACUAUGUUGCCAAGUGUUUGAAUUGUCAACAAGUUAAAGUAGAACAUCUGAGGACAGGUUGUUCUUCUCAAGAAAUAGCUUUGCCUUUGUGGAAGUAGGAGAUGAUUAAUAUGGACUUCAUUAAAUGACUUCCAAGGUCCCAAAACCAGUAUGAUUCCAUUUGGGUGAUUGUAGAUAGGUUGACCAAGUCAGCUCACUUUCUACCUAUCAGGACAAAUUAUUUAGGAGAGAAUUAUGCCAAGUUGUUCAAUGUAGAAAUAGUUUGUUUGCAUGGGGCACCUGUGUCCAUCAUAUCUGAUAGAGGUACACAGUUUUCUUUAUAGUUUUGGAGAUCAUUUCAAAAGGGUUUAGGUACCCAAGUGAACUUGAGAAUGGAUUUCCACCCUCAUAUAAAUGGGCAAGAUGAGCGCACCAUCCAGAUCCGUGAGGAUAUGUUGAGGGCCUACGUGAUUGAUUUUACAGGUAGUUGGGUAGAUCACUUUCCAUUGAUAGAGUUCACAUAUAAUAAUAGUUUCUAUUCCAAUAUUAAGAUGGCACCUUUUGAGGCAUUGUAUGGAAGAAGAUGUAGGUCCUUGAUAUGAUGGUAUGAAGUAGGUGAGAUGCAGAUAUUUGGGCCUGAUCUUGUUCAUCAGGCAAUAGAGGAUGUCAAAGUCAUUAGAGAAUGACUUAAGACAGCUCAGAGUCGUCAGAAGUCCUACGCCGAUGUUAGGAGAAGAGAUCUAGAGUUUAAGGUUGGAGAUUAGGUAUUUCUCAAGGUUUAUCCCAUGAAGGGAGUCAUGCAAUUGGGAAGAAAGGUAAGUUGAGUCCUUGCUAUAUAGGACCAUAUCAGUUUGUGAGAAGGAUAAGUGGAGUUGCAUAUGAGUUAGAAUUGCUUGCUAGUUUGGGUUUGGUUUAUCCAGUAUUUCAUAUAUCUAUGUUGAAGAAGUGUAUUGGAGACCAUUCUUUAGUAUUGCCUAUCGAAGAUAUCAAAGUGAUAGACUCCUUAUCCUAUGAAGAAGAGCCUGUAGAGAUUUUGGAUCACCAAGUUAGAAUAUUGAGGAACAAAGAGAUAGCCUCAGUUAAAGUGUUGUGGAGAAACCAGAAAAUUGAAGAAGCGAAUUGGGAAUCAGAAGUUGAAGUGAGAGCUAGAUACCCAAACCUUUUUUAUCCAAUGGAUGAUGAAAUGGAAGGCACAAUCCUUGCCUUAUUAUUUCUAUGCCUUAGUAUCCUUGAAAUUAUACUUGUGUGUAUCCCGCGUCAAGAUUCGGGUACAAAUGUUCCCAAUGGGGGGAUAUUGUAACGCCCUAAAGUUUUUUCUUAGCUAAAUUUUAUCCCUAAAAUAUCAAGCAUUGGCCUCUAGAAUGAUUUAUACUUUUUUUGGUGGAAUCCCUUAGAUUUCAACUUUUCAUUUCGUAGAUGAUUGAAUAAGUUUUCCGUCGACAUAAGAUGCAUCCAAAAUGGACACUCGGUGAAGGAUUUAUGGUUAAUUUAAGUCCUAGUCAUAAAACACCAUCAUUCCUGUCCUUGGCACAUCGCGGAGAGGGCGUAAAUAAUGAUAGUCAAUUUCCAGUGGGACUCCACGAUGGUGGCACAUUGCGUGGUGGGCUAAAUUCCCAUUCGUCAAUUUCAAGUAAGCCACCAUGAUAAUGGCACAUCACGGUGACCCAUAAAAUCGUGCUUCUAGUUAUAUUUUAAUAGCGGUAUCAUUAAGGGUAUAUUGGAUAUUUUCCCACACCCUUAUCAAUCUAAAUACGAGAUUUCAACCCUAAUUGUGCAUAUUACUCAUAAAUUCACCAAAAAUAUUCAAGAACACUUUCUAGGGUUUCAUAUUGAUAAUCCAAAUAAAUCAAGAUUCAACCUUGGGUUUCCAAAACAAAUUAAAGAUUUGGAAUCCCCAAGCCGUGGGCAUCAAGAAACAUCCUUUAAAUUUCUAGAUAGAGGUAUGUGGGGUUUAUGCUAAAAAAACUACAUGGGCUUAAAACCAUUAGAGCAUGAUUUUUAGAUUUUUAUGCUUGAAUUUCAAAGGGAUUUUGGAAUCUAUGUUCUAAAUUACGUACUCCAAAUGUUUUAAUGUUACUAUUGUUUUGACCUUGUGGUCCUAUCCCCUAAAUUGAUUUACAUGUGUAUGUAUAUGUAUGGAAUUUGAGAUUUAAGAUCGUUGAGAGCAUAAAUUAUGAACUCCCACUCGCGUAUUGAAUUAAAGAUUAUGAUUUUGUGAUUUGAAAGAUGUUUUCACAAUAUUAUAGCAUUUGAGCAUGAUUUGAAAUUGUUGAGAGGGUGUUUCUUGAUAUAAAUGUGUUCUUGUGUUUAAGAGAAAGAAUUACAUGUGAAUUGAGAACUUUGACAUGACCACCUUGUACUGUACUACUGAAAUACUUGACAAAGAUGAGUUCUUUGCAUGUGUUUACAUGAGGUUUGAGAAAGAGUUUCGUUGAAUUGAAUUAUUAGAAUGGUGAUCCCAAAACUUGUGUUUUGAAAAUAGAGAUUUGAGAUAGACUAAUAAUGGCUCAGAGAUGUGACUUGCAAGUCAAUGGUAUGACGAUACCAUAUGUAUUUAUGCCAUAACAGAUUAUGUUUUUAGAGCAUGUUUUCAGAGACUGUAUGUUUUGAUAGAGUUUUAAAAAUGGGCUUAAAGAGGGUUAGGUAGUUACCCAAAGAAGGCGCGAGUUCAAGCAACUCUUACCCUGAACUCGUAUUUGCCGAUAUGAGUAAAUUAUUAUUGUAUGCUGGCGACGGCCGUGUGGCGUAGUAGAUUCAGAAACUCCAACCCUUAUGGUACACUUGGGUCGGGGGCUUCGCUGCCGAGUUAAUGGCAGUUUCCAUAUAGCCCAUGGAAUUUUUUAGAGAUGUAGGGUAUACCACCUAGCACAAAAAUAACACAGACUUUUUAGAGUUGAGAUGAUUUUUACAGAGUCUUUAAAAUGCCUAUGUGAAUUCUUACUAUAUGAUAUACUCAUGAACUCUUUUAAAUUACUCUCAUAUAUGUUGAAUAAUAAAUGAUUAUUUUGGAUAUGCUCUGUGUACCAGUACAGCUGUAUUGACCCCCCUCUCCCCUACCUCUCAGGUUUUGAGACUCAGUCUAGGGGUUCAGAUAAGUAGUAGAUAAUUUAGACAGCUAAUCAUAUUGUGUAGUGGUGAGCCUUCUCUAUUCCUGAAGGUCUAUCUUUUCAGAUUAUAUCAUUUAUUUUAGUUUUGGUCUAUUGGGGGCCUUGUCCCAGUUUCAGACAGCUAUCAAAUUUUCAUGUAGUAGAGAUUUCACAAACUGAAUCAGAUGUUAUUUAGAUGUAGUUGAUUUACAGUUUCCAUACUUAUGUUGAAUUCAGAAUUGACCAUGUUUAUAUAGCAAAUUAUGUUUUUGCAUCUUCAUUUAUUAUAUGAAUAUUGUGCAUGAUUACCAGAUAGAGAAAGGCUUUCUGGACCCUCAUGGUUUAGGAUGUCCGUCAAGGCCAGGCCCUAGUUCGGGUUGUGACAUUACAUUAGAGUUGAUCCCCAAAAGACCAAAGCAGUGAUAAACUGGCCCAGACCUAUCUAUCCAUCAGAUAAAAAUAGUUUCUUAGGUUUGGCUAGCUAUUACCGAUGGCUUGUCGAGGUAUUUUCUUCUAUUACAUCCCCUAUGUCCAGAUUGACUCAGAAAAAGGUCAAAUUUUAGUGGUCAAAUUCUUGUGAGAUGAGUUUUUAGGAUUUGAAGAUUGGACUCACUACAGCUCCAGUUUUGACUCUACCAGAUGGUUUAGAUGAAUUUGUGGUAUAUUAUGAUGCUUUCAGGGUUGGUUUGGCGUGUGUUUUGAUGAAGAGAGGUAAGGUCAUAGCCUAUGCCUCUAGACAUCUUAAGCCUUAUGAAAAGAACUAUCCAACUCAUGCUCUUGAGUUAGCAGCAGUAGUAUCUGCCUUAAAGAUUUGGAGGCACUGCUUGUAUGGUGUGCACGUCAAUGUGUUCACUGACCAUAAGAACCUACAGUAUGUGUUCUCUCAGAAAGACCUAAACCUACAUCAGUGAAGGUAAUUGGAGUUAUUGAAGAACUACAAUAUGAGCGUUUUGUAUCAUCUGGGUAAAGCCAAUGUAGUGGCAGAUGCUCUAAGUAGGAUAUCUAUAGGUAGUGUUGCUUAUCUGGAGGAUAGUAAGAAGAAUUUAUCUCAGGAAGUUCAUCAGCUUACCCGACUGGGUUUCCACUUAGUCGAUUCAGCAAAAGGUAAUGUAUAGGUGUAGAGUAGUUCAGAAUCAUCUCUAGUUUCUGAGGUGAAGGAAAAGUAGAAUAGGGAUCCCAGCCUAGUUUAGUUAAAAGAAUCAGUUAGAGAUUAGAAGAUAGAGGUUUUCUUCCAAGGAAGAAAUGGUGAAUUAUGUUGUUAGGGUCUUCUAUGUGUCCCAGGUGUAGAUGACCUGAGACUGUGGAUUCUUGCACAAAAACAUGAUGCACAUUACUCUAUUUAUCCAGGGUCCACUAAGAUGUAUCAUGAUUUGCGGGAGAUCUAUUGGUGGAGUGGGAUGAAGAGAGAUAUCACAGAGUUUGUAGCCAAGUGCUCAAUACAUCAGUAGGUUAAGAUCGAGCAUCAAAAGCCUAGUGGGGCUAUACAGGAGUUCAGUAUUCGUACUUGGAAAUGGGAAGAAGUGAACAUGGAUUUUGUGAUGGGUUAGCCUCGUACUCAUCAUCAGCACGAUUCAGUUUAGGUCAAUGUAGACAAGAUGACCAAAUCAGCUCAUUUCUCACCAGUCUAUACCUCUUAUUCAGCCGAGGACUAUGCCAAGCUCUAUGUUUGAGAGUUGGUCAGAUUACACAGAGUUCCAUUUUCCAUCAUCUUAUAUAGAGGUACGUAGUUCACCUCUCAUUUCUGGAAAGCCUUCCAAAAGGGUUUUGGUACCCAAGUCCACCUUAGUACAGCUUUCUACCCUCAGACAGAUGGUCAAGCAGAAAGGACCAUUCAGACUUUAGAGGAUGCUGCGAGUGUGUGCGAUAGACUUUAAAGGUAGUUGGGAUGACCAAUUUUCUUUUAUUGAGUUCACAUAUAACAACAGUUACCAUUCCUGCAUUCAGAUUGCUCCAUUUGAGUCACUCUAUGGGAGGAGAUGUAGGUCUCUCAUUGGUUGUUUGAAGUGGGAGAGGCCACAGUGGUAGGGCCUGACUUGGUGUUUGACAGCUUAGAAAAGGUUCAGAUGAUCAGGGAAAGGCUAAGACAGCUCAGAGCCGACAAAAAUCAUACGCAAAUAUGUAGAGAAAGGAUCUCGAGUUUGAGAUUGGUGAUUAUGUGUAUUUCAAGAUCUCUACUUGAAAGUAGUGAAGAGGUUUGGUACGAAGGGGAAACUCAGUCCCUGAUAUGUCGUUCCUUACCGAUUUAUCAAUCGUUUCGAAAAGGUAGCUUACGAGUUUGAGUUGCCUUCAAAUUUAGCUUUAGUCCACCUAGUGUUUCAUGUCUCCUUACUAAAGAAAUACAUAAGUGACCCAAUAAUUGUAGUCCCUAUAGGGAGUAUAGACGUUCAGAACAGCCUCUCUUAUAAGGAGAUUCCAGUCAAUAUCCUUGAUUAUUAAAUUCACAGACUAGUCCCUCUAGUCAAUGUUCUUUGGCAGAAUCAUUCCAUUGAGGGAACUACUUGGGAAGCAGAAGCAAAUAUGCGAACUAAGUAUCCUCACCUAUUCUCCGCAAACUCAGACUCAGCCCAAGGUAACAGUUUUCCCUUGAACUUACUAAAUUCUAUGCUCAGAUUUCCCUUAUAGACAUGGUAUCAGUUAUCAUUGUUUUUUUCAUUUAUGUAUUCAUGCAUUAGAUAUGCAUGUUCAGCAUGAGAAACUAAACUUAUCAGUAAUUCUAGUCAUGGAUUCAUGAAUUUUGUUCAGCCAAGCUUAUCAGUAAUUCUAGUCAUGGAUUCAUGAAUUUUGUUCAUCCAUGUACUCAUGCAUCAGAUAUGCAUAUUCAGUACAAAAUUUCAGCAUAUCAGUAGUGCCAGUCAUGAAAUCACGUUACAGUUGUGCACAUCCUGUAUCUAAAUCCAGAUUAUCAGUAUUCUCAGCUCAGUCAGUCUCAUUCGAGGAUGAAUAUUCCCAAUGGGGAGAUAUUGUAAGAACUCAAAAAAUCCUAAACUUAACUCAGACCUUUAAAGUUUGUUAAGGGGUCCCAAACUUAGAAAAUUUUAGCUAAGUAUUCAGACUUAGUGUUAUUCUAGCUUUGUAGGUUGGAGACUCUAUUUCACGACCCUUAUGACCUUAAAGUAAUGAUUUUUAGGUUGAAUCAUGAUCAGGAAUGUCAGUGGGUAUUCCUGGACAAGUUUUAAAUUUUUUGGGCUUCAUUUGGAUCACAUUUGAAAGAUUAAACCAGAGGAUCGACACGACGCGUCGCCCAUCACAUUGAUGAAUAUUUUCCUCAGACUCUCAGUGCAAACUCCAGUGAACCGAUGUGGACUUGACACCAUGCGUUAGCCAUCACGUUGAUGCCAAUGAUGCGGUGCAUCGGUCUACAUAUUCCUAGGUUAUUUUUCAAUCAUUAACAAGCCGCAUCCUCGGGGGUAAUUGGGUCUUCUUCCCACAUCUAUCAGCCCCAAAAACACAAAAUUAAACCCUUCAAAGAGCAACAACUAUUCAUUCUUCACAAGUUGCUCUCAAGAAAAAAAACUAGCAGAUUUUAAAUUCAAUUCAAGGCUCAAGAACUUACCAUCAAUCUUUUAGAAUUUAAUUGUUAAGGUAUAUCAAGUGUUCAUUCAAAGGUCCCUUCCAACCUUGGAAUUUAAGAAUCUAUUUUUAAAACCUCAAAUAUAUUAAUUACAUGAAUUUCAUGUUGGGUUUGAUUAUAUUCAUGAUUAUAAUGAUUAAUUGGGUUUCUAAUCCAUGUUUUGUUACAAGUUUCAUGUGGAUUUAUUUGAUAUAUGUAUAGAAUCAUGUAAAUCCAUGCUAAACUCUUGAAUUAUAAAUGGGGAUUUGAGUUAUGGUGCCCAUAUAUGAUUACUGUCAUGUGCAUGGAUUAUGUCCUCCAAGUGUUUGAUAAAUUGCUCAUGUAAUAAAAGAAAAAAGGGAAAACAAUUAUGUCAUGUUAGCUUAUGUGCAAGUUAUAUCAUGCAAGUGUUUAAUGGAAUAUCUCUAUGAAUGAGUUAUGAUCAAGUGUACAUGGUUAUUCCUUUCAAGUUUAUGCUAUGAUUUAUUUCUCAUGCUAUCGAGUCCUGGGGGUAUCUAAUACCCGAAAACUUAGUUGUUUACCUAGAGCUGUGGUAGUUACAGAUCAGUCUCAGUAGUGUCACAAAUAGUAGCCUCAGUAUUCAGUCACAGUUAUAUUUAAGUAUUCUAUUCAGACCUUAGUAAACCCAGCUAGUCAACAGAACUCUGUAGUAUUCCAUCAGUUAACAGAAUUCAGUAGUACUCUAUCAGUUGAUGAAACUCAGUGAAAUUAGUUCAAUUCAGUUAGACAGUACGAUCAGAAAUAAUUCAGUCCAGCCUAGUAUAGUUUAGAAAUUAAUCCAUUGUUUAUUCAGUUGGGAGUAUGAUUCAGCAUCGAGCAAACCCAGGGAUGGGGGCAUUCCUGCCAGCAGAGGGUUUGACCCUUAGUAGUAGUCCCUAUGUUACAGAACUACAUAGCCAUUGUAGGUUGAGAUAUUUUCCUGCCAGACUAUUGAUAUAUCUCAUACGACUUUUCCUACCAGCGAGGGUUGAUAAAAGAGCUUCCUGUUAGAGAGAGUUAACUCACAGCUUUUCUUUACCCAUGGUAUGGUACUGACACCCUUUGAACUGCGGUUAUAGGUUAGACCCCAAUCUAUCCAGAAAGAGGCAUGUCAGUUAAAUGAUUACCUCUCACAGUCUCAGUUUUAGCUUCAAUCUCGGUUUAGAACUUAAUUAAGUUCUACAAAAUCAUGACUAUCAAAUACAGUCAUUCAAUUCAGUACAGAACUCAGCACAGUUCCAUAGAAUUAGGACUGUCAUCUAUAGUCAUUCAGCUAUCAGUUAUACAGUAUCAGCAAACUCAGAUAUCAGUAAAUCAAUAAUUCAGAACUCGGUAUUAAGUGUCAUCAUAACUUCAGUUACAGUUUACGUAUUUUAUAUAUGUACUCUCGUUUAGUUAUACUCAUAUUGUUCAGUCAGUAUUGUUCAUGCAUAUGAACCUAAGCAUCUCAACCUAGGUCACUUAGUUUGCCAAUAUAUUUAAAGUACUGACGCAUACCUUUCUUUGCGCUAUAAUGUCUUAUAUCAUAGGUUGAGACGCACGAGCUCCCAAUCAUACUUAGCAUCCUGAUCCAUCAGCAGCAAACUAGUGGUGAGUACUCAUUGUUCGAGGAUAGAUUUAUUAUUAUAGUAUUUUAGUACUCAAUUUAUUUCAAUAGGCGGAGUUAGUUGGGGACUUGUCCUAUCAACUCCUUUUCAGACAGUAGAGGCUUUUCAGACUUUUGAGUAUUUAUAGACAGAUGUUCAGUUUUGGUAUGGAUGUACCAUACUCAUUAUUUACUUAUAGUUUUGAACCUUAUGGUAGAUUUCCACCUAAUUUCUAUAUAAUUAUAGUAUUACUAUUCAGUUAUUACAGUAGGUACCAAUCAUGGGUUAGCUUGUGGUCCUUCAAGAUUAUGAACAUCGUGUAGCGUCUGGGAUACAGACUUGGGGAGUUACACAUACUCUAUUCUUUAGGUGUAAUCAAGUUACAAAGAUGUGUAUAGUAUUCUUUCAUGUUUUAGGUCCUCGUGUUCUAUCACUUCAUUGAUCCUUCUUAUGUUAAAAUAGUGGUGAGGAAAAUAGUUGAACACUUGUUUAAAUUGGAGAGAGUAGAUGUUCCUUAUUAUGGAAAAUUACUAUGAGCUUGUUCAACCUAAAGUUACAAGUGUAGCGGGAUGUUAAGGCCAAGAUUAUUUAUAUCUGAUAGUUAUUUGAGAAGUUUUGGUGUGACUUUUUAGUGUAUAUAUUUAUAGAGGGAUUAGAGAAGAUGAUAAAAUUCUUAGAUGGGUUGGUUUCAUAGAAUUUCAUAUGUGGUUAUAAUGAUACGCUUGAAUGUCAUAUUGAUGUAUAAGUGGUUGAAUGCAUUGUACGCUAGUGAAUUCCUAAGAAAAAGCUCAGAGUUAGUUGUUGAAGUGGUAAUGAGUAUUAUUCUUGAGAUGAGAGCUCUCAAGAGACAUAGUAUAUUAAAUCCCAUGGUUUGGACUAAUAUUAUGUUGUUAUGUUUAGUACCUUGUGACUUUGAGUUAGGCUUGAACAUGGUGUAGAAAUGUAGUUCAUCUCAAACUUUAUUUGGGGUAGUCACAGGUACCCCUAUGUAGGUUAUAAGUUGCAUAAAUUGAAGUGUAGUAUUUAAGAGGAAAUGUAUAGUUGAAAAGAGUGUUCGGGAAGUGUUUUUUUUUUUUGGCUAAAUAAAUAAAUUUUAUUUCACCAAGUAAUUUACAGCAUCAAGCAAGAUCAGACCCCCUGCUUCUCAGUUUUAACGGCUAUAAACUUUAAUAGGAUCUCACUAACAGGCUAGGAGACCUCCAAAGUAAAAUUAGCAUAAAAAUCAACAAUUAACAAGGUCUAAGUGCUAAGCUAUAGUCUCCACAUUCAAUUCUUCUUCACUAUCAUGGAAUUGCUAGCAACUGCAGUAGCACUGGUGCCCAUUUCGUGAAUAGUUGGCCUUUAACAUGGAUGUGGUAGGCAAUUUCUCAAUAUAGUCUAUCCACCUGGUAUUCUCCUUAUUGGAAUCUGAUAAGGUUUCUUUCUCUCCAUAUGGUGUUUAUCAUCAUGGCAAAAACACUACAUGGGAUGGCACCUCUGGGAGCUUUUCCUUUCUAGUUGUGCAACCCAUUUAACCUCACACAUCCAGCCUCCAAUAGCUUUUUGUAUUCCUUGCCAGUCUAGCAUUAUCUUCCACAUCCCCUUUGUGGUGCAGCAUUAAAAGAACAGGUGCUGGUGAGUUUCUUCAGCACUAUCACAGAACACACAAGAAGAAUGGAGUUGGAUGCUAAAUUUUGCUAGCCCUUCUAUAGUAGGUAGUUAUUUUAACAUGGCCAACCAUAGUAUGAAAGAGUGUCUGAGGUGUACACUGUGAUUCAGAACAAUUUCUUUCCAGGGAACUUUGGGGAGUUGUGGGAUCAUUGCACGAUACAUCUUUUUUAUAAGGAAUUUUGAAUUCUGGAUGCAUGCUGCUAGUCUCAUCAAAAGAUCACCCUGGAGCCCUACGGCUAUCAUGACAUGAAAUUUUACACUGAUGAUUUUCCUGAUAACCCAUGUAGUAUUCUGAAGGAUUUCACAUGUUUCAAUAGUUUCAUUCUUCAGGUAGUAAGCAUUUACCCAUUUUAUCCAAAGGCAAUCUUUUUCCUCAACUAAAGCCCAAAGCUGUUUGGUGAUAGCUGCUUUGUUCCAUAGAGACAAGUUUAAAAUAUUUAGCUCACCAGUAUAUUUAGGGAGGCAUAGUUUUUUCUAUGUCACCAGUGUUUUUCUGGAUGUUAAAGUAGCCCCUGUCCUGAGAAAAACUCUACAGUAGCUUGUAAUAAGCUUCAUGAUUCUCUUUGGCAGUAGGAAUAUUUAUGCCCACUAAGUCUGUGUGUCAAAUAUUAUGGACUGAAUCGAUUGUAACCUUCCUGCAUAAGAUAGUAAUUUAGCAAACCAAUAGUUCAGUUUAGCAAUAAUUUUGUCCACCAGAGGUUGGCAUUAAUCAAUUAUGAGCUUUUUGGAACUCAAAGGCACUCUAAGAUAUUUAAAAGGUAGGCCACCUUCCUCAUAACCCAAGGAUGAAAGAAUAAGUUGCUUCAUCUGUGGUUGUGUUCUAGAGAAGUAGAUAGAACUCUUUUCAAAAUUUGGUUGGAGCCCAGAUAUUGUAAAAAAUCUAUGGAAAGCUUAUUAAAGUAGGAUGACUGAGUUGAGGUCUACUUUGAAAAAUAAUAACAAAUCAUCAACAAAUACUACGUGUUUUACCCCCAAUUUAUUGCACCGGGAUGGUACUCAAACCCUUUAUUAUGAUCAAGCAUAUACAGCUCCCUAUUGAGGUAUUCCAUUGUAAUUACAAAGAGGUAAGGUGAUAUAGGGUCACCCUAUCUUAUACAUCUUUUUCCUGGAAAAGGCUUUGUCAACCCUUUAUUCACCACUAAGGAAUAAGAAACUGAGCUGAUACUCUCCAUUAUCUAGUCAAUGAACCUUUGAGGAAAUCCUAGAUCUACAAGACACUCUUGAGGAAACAUCAUUCUAUUGAGUCAUAUGCCUUCUUUAGGUCCACCUUUAGAACACAUCUUGAAGAGAGCCCUUUUCUGGUGUACCACUUGAAUAAUUCAUGGCUAAACAAAAUUUUAUCAAUAAUAUUUCUUCUUUUAAUAAGUAUAGACUGAGAAGGACCAAUAAUAGUUCCUAUUACUUUUUUUAUUCUGUUUGUAAGUAUCUUGGUAAUCAACUUGUAGAAUAUGUUACAACAGGCAAUAGGUCUAUAGUCUUUCACUUUUGAAGGGUUGGCACAUUUUGGUAUUAAGGUAAUUAUUUUGCAGCUAAAAGAUUUCAACAUUAUACCAAAGUGAAAGAAUUCCUUUACUACUUUAAUUACAUCAUAUUUUAUGGUAUUCCACUGGCUGGUGUAGAACUCCAUUGGAAAUCCAUCCAGUCCAGGUGCUUUAUCCCCUGGCAUACUCUUAAGAGCUUGUAUGAUCUCUUGGUUUUUGACCUCUUGGAUAAGCUCUACCUUAUGAGAAUAGGUUAAUCAUGGACCCGCCUUGAUCAUUGUGGACAAGGUAUGUCAGGAACAGCUAUCCCCAUGAGACCUGAGAAGAACUCAAUAAAUUCCUUUUCUACCAAGUUAGGGUCAGUGAUCUUAUGUCCCUAGUCAUCAUAGAUGGAUAAGAUAGAAUUCUUGCUGGCUCUGAUUAUGCAUUGAGUAUGAAAAUACUUUAUGUUAGCUUCUCCACUUCAAAUCCAUGUUGCUCUGGAUUUCUGCCUUAGCACUUUUUCCUCUACUUGACUCCAUUGAUGUAAGUCAUUCGUUAAGGUUUGCUCCUCCGUGAUUAGAUCCUGAUUCAAAGGGUUUGCUGCAAGCUUUGUCUCUGUGAUGUCCAGCUUCUCCCUGGUAAGCUGUAACCUCUUAGCAUAAGAAGCAAGGUAUGUAUUCAAUCCUUGCAGGCAUGCUUCAAAGUUUUUAGCUUUUGACUGAGUGUGAACAUCUUUGUACCAUAAAACUUUUUCUUCUAAGUUGCUGCUACAAUCCCUGGGAACUCAUUGUGCUCUAAUACAGUAUUAUACAAUUUAAAAGGUAUUGUAUUAGAUGAAGAUAGGAGAGUGGUAUAAUACCCCUGGAUUGAGGAAUUCAGCUUCAAUAGCUCCAUAUUUCUGCAACCAGUAUGGAUUCCCAAGUGCACAGUAAAUCUUUGAAUAAACGUUGCGAUCCUGUUGUUGUUUGUUGCAAAAAGUGUAAUGACAUCCUUUUGCCUUAAGAGUAGUGAGUUGGAGCAGGUCUGCACAAUCCCUGAAGUCCUGGACUUCUGCUUGUGUAACCACUAAACCAAGUCUGUCUUCAAAGGAUAGGACAACAUUAAAGUCCCCACUGAGUAGCCAGGGUUCUUGGAUGGCCGUUCCUAUCAGUUUUAGCUACUUCCACAUUUCCACUCUCUUUUGUAGACUAUUCUUUAGUGUACAAUGGUAACAUAAGCUGAGAAGGCUCUUCUUGCAUCAUUCACAUAGCAAUGUAUGAAUUGUUCUUUGACUAUUAGCAUAGAGACCUGCACUUGAGGUAGCCAGCAUACCUAAAUUCUUUCAUUUUGACCUUUUGUGUAAUUAAAGCAAGAAUUCCAGCCUUCAAAUACUUUUUUCAAUAUAUUGGGGAUUUUAUUCUCUUUAACUCUUGUUUACAAGCAUCCACAUAUAUCAAUUUUAUAUUCCCUGAGAAAGAGCCUAAGCUCUUUUUUUUUCAAGGGCUGGUUGAGGCACCUGAUAUUCCAAGUAGUGAUAUUCAUAAAUGUAAAGAUCCACAAGGAUCCCCUGAUGUGUCCUCCUCUAUUGGACUAUACUCAAGGGGGCAAAUUUAUUGGUGUUGGCUUUACUGGUUUCUACUUGAUCCUCGACCGGCAUUGCCCCUAAUGAAUUAGAUCUUCCUGCUUCUGGUUCAUUAGUUUUUGAACUAAUUGGUGCAACAAGGUUGGUGAGUCUAGGAUUUGUUGACUCUUCCUUAUUCUACCAUUGUUAUUGUUGUGGUUUCCUUCGUUAUUUGUUUCUCCUCUUUCUCUUUGACACCUCCUUGAAUUGCCUUUCUUCUUUACCCCCUUGGUCUUCUACUCCCCAACAAUUUGCAGAGAGAUGGCCAAAUUUCAAACAAAGUGCACAAUACUUAAUCUUCUAUUCAUACUCCACCGGUUAUUAAAAUAUACCCAAGGCGUAACUAUUUCUAUGGUAUCCAGUAAUGGCUGAUAGAUAUCUUUUUCCACCAGUACUCUAGCGUAAGAAAUCCUCUUAAUAUUUGUAGUAACUUUAUCUGUGUGCUUUGGCUUGCCGAUGGCACUGGUAACCUUGCUGAGGGCCUCACUUGACCAGUAUCGCACAAGUAAAUCGAGGAACAAGACAUAUAGAGGUAUAGUUGUGAUACAAUCAGGAUUAAACUCAAAUUAGAUAUCUUAAGCUUUUACUAUAAAUGGUUUGCUAUGGAAAGUAUAAGGACCCUCAAUUAGGAUUCUAUUACAUUCCUCAGCUGACUCGAAUCUAAAGAUGAAAUACCCAGAAUCAAGACCUAGAAUUUGGGGGUUCGCAGUAUAUUUUAAGAUCUGGGAUACAUACUGUUCUAUCGACUUCACAUGGGGGUAUCCCCUAUUACAUAGCCUAUUAGUGCGUAUUUCCAGUAUUCUACUUGACUACGCAGGUCAUCUUCUAUAAUACUCACAGAAACCUUACCUUGAUUUACAGAGGGAAGGAUGUACAACUGAGCUUUUUCUUUCUGAGUUGCUCUAUUGUUACCAUAUUUCUUCACCUUCAGGGUUUGAGCUAGAGUUGUUGUCUUCAAGAAUUGGAGUUGUUGAUUUGGUGGAGGGCCUGUCAAUUUGCCGUAGUUUCUUAAGUGUAGUGACAUUGGAGAGUCAGAAGUUGUUGAUCCAUCUUCAGUCUCCUCCGGAAUGGAUUAGAAUUUUUAGGGAAGGCAAGUUCCAAAAGUAAUUGAUGGGAGUGUAAAGUUAUUGCCAUCCUAAGGUGUUACCAGCUUUGCCAGUGAAACGGCAAGAGCCUUCAAUCGAGCCAUGAUUUUUAGAGUGGGUGCACAUUAGCUACAUUUCCAAAGUAAGACGAGAGCAUCAUGAACCUAGAUUAUGACAUAAGCGUCGAGAGCAUCUAUUUACAACUAUUAUGACAUGAGCGUCGAGAGCAUUCAAUAUUAUGAGAUGAAGUAUUAUUAAGCUUGAAAGUUAAUAAUUGCAUUACCUAAGGCAUAGUAAUCCUAUUCUAGCUUUUGUUUUAUAUGAUUAUGCCCCAUGUUAU
rnacentral:lncRNA from 1 species